GGGAGCUCUCCCAUAUGGUCGACCUGCAGGCGGCCGCGAAUUCACUAGUGAUUCGUAUUACCGCGGCUGCUGGCACGUAGUUAGCCGGUGCUUCUUAUUCCGGUACCGUCAUCCACACAGGGUAUUAACCCAUGCGUUUUCUUCCCGGCUGAAAGAGCUUUACAACCCGAAGGCCUUCUUCACUCACGCGGCAUGGCUGGAUCAGGGUUGCGCCCAUUGUCCAAAAUUCCCUACUGCUGCCUCCCGUAGGAGUCUGGACCGUGUCUCAGUUCCAGUGUGGCGGAUCAUCCUCUCAGACCCGCUACAGGUCGUCGCCUUGGUGAGCCUUUACCUCACCAACUAGCUAAUCUGAUAUCGGCCGCUCAAUCAGCGCAAGGUCUUGCGAUCCCCUGCUUUCCUGCUCACAGAAUAUGCGGUAUUAGCGUAACUUUCGCUACGUUAUCCCCCACUGAAAGGUACGUUCCGAUACAUUACUCACCCGUUCGCCACUCGCCACCAGGAUUGCUCCCGUGCUGCCGUUCGACUUGCAUGUGUAAGGCAUGCCGCCAGCGUUCAAUCUGAGCCAUGAUCAAACUCUAAUCGAAUUCCCGCGGCCGCCAUGGCGCCCGGGAGCA
rnacentral:rRNA from 1 species